rnacentral:misc_RNA from 1 species
GAGUAUGAUGCAUCACAAGACAGUGGAGACUCAACAUUUACUUUAUUUGCCUCCCUACUGGAUUCAGCUCUUCAAGGGUUAAUUUCAAUCCCUGAUUUGAUAUUACAUUUUGAGAAUUGUUGCCGUGAAGUCUCAGAGUCAAUUAGGUAUGGUUCUAAUGAAAUGCACAGAGUUAUGGAGGACAAAUUGAUGAGACAGAAGGCUCGGAUUUUGCUUGACGAGGCAGCUUCCUGGUCUCUCUUGUGGCAUCUUUAUGGAAAAGGAAAUGAAGAACUUCCAGAAGACCUAAUCAUGUUACCAACUACUUCACACUUAGAAGCUUGCCAAUUUGUGGUGAAGAAUCAUACUGCACAACUGUGCCUCCGGAUUGUGCAGUGGCUUGAAGGAUUAGCUUCCAAAGCCCUUGAUUUGGAUAGAAAGGUACGAGGCUCUCACGUUGGCACCUAUCUCCCCAGCUCCGGAAUUUGGCAUCACACUCAACGGUUCCUGAAGAAAGGUGUUUCAAAUCCAAAGACAAUUAAUCACUUGGACUUUGAUGCGCCUACGCGUGAACAUGCUCAGCAGUUACAUGAUGACAAAAAACAAGAUGAAUCUCUUCUGGAGGAUGUCUGGACUCUGUUAAGGGCA